CGAGACCUGGACCUCAGAACGACCCGUCCACGUGUUUUUUACGACGGCGGCUGGGCGCUCUCGCGGGUGCCCCGGCGCCAUCAGGGUGAGCGCGUGCCGAUCCCUUCGCGGGGGGAGGCAGGCGCUUUCCCCUGCAAAAAUAACGAACCCCGGCGCGAACCGCGCCUAGGAACACGAACGAAAGAGCGAGCCCGCGAAGCCCCGUCCGCGGGCGCGAUCGCGGGCCGGCAUCUUCCUUUAUCGAAAUCGAACGACUCUCGACAACGGAUAUCUCGGCUCUCGCAUCGAUGAAGAACGUAGUGAAAUGCGAUACUUGGUGUGAAUUGCAGAAUCCCGUGAACCAUCGAGUCUUUGAACGCAAGUUGCGCCCGAAGCCGUCAGGCCGAGGGCACGUCUGCCUGGGCGUCUCACAUCGCGUCGCCCCCCCCACCACCCCACCACACACUUCGGUGACGGUGGGCGGGGGGCCGACUGAAACCUUUAUUUUUCUAGGUUGACCUCGGAUCAGGUAGGGAUACCCGCUGAACUUAAGCAUAUCGAAAGCGGAGGAAGUGGUGGUUGAGACGGAACCUUAAGCGUCCUGUCGUGCGUGCCGCAGUCGCCAGCGCGAUGCUCGCGCGACCCUUAACGCGCCGUCACCCGACGGUGCCUCGACCGCGACCCCA
rnacentral:rRNA from 1 species